GUCAGUUGCCGAACGGACAGAUUAUAAAUACCGUGCAGACCAAGUUGCAAUGCGUGUGAUAUCGCUGAAUUGAUAUCUGCAACAGCGUUAUUUCACGAUGCAUAAUAAUAUACGUACAACAAAAUUGAGAUAACAUUCUGCGAUUUUAGCGGUUUAUCUGAACUGCACCCUUCUGGGUAUCUAAUCUAUCUUGACGUAAAAUCGUUUCUUUGUCAUGCGUGAAGAAUUUUUUUCCUCGACCGGGCAGUUCUUCUACGUACAACCGCAACAUUCAUCUUCCAGAGAUCGCUAAACCGAAAGAAUUGUUUUUUCGACAGUAUUUUUCGCAUACCAAACUAUGACGUAAUAUUUGAUAAGCAGAGCAAUUUCUUGGAAAUUCGGAAGUGACGAAUUCAUACGCGAAAGAAUUCGGUAAUCAAUCACAGUGGAAUGUCUUAACAAACAUGACACUCGACGACAAAAAUUAGUUGCGUUCAAAAUAAGUGAAAAAAGGUAGAGAAGGUCAGACGCGUUUGCGCCACAUACAAAGAAGUAUAGGUAACUAUAUGUUAAUCACGCAACGCGUUAUCCGAUCGGAAUGUCCAAAGUAAGCCGUACGUUCUCUGGAGGCUGAAAUCGCGAAUUG
rnacentral:misc_RNA from 1 species